rnacentral:other from 1 species
GCGGCUCCGGCCGUCCGCGGCCGGUGAGGUUCGCAAG